ensembl:lncRNA
GGCAAGCAAAGAAAAAUAAAAGUGGAAAUGGUAAAGCAAAUGUUCACACAUUCAAAGAAUUAAAUAGGCUAUUUACAGAUCGAGAAUCUACUUUUAUACAUUUAACUCUUCUAUUGAGUUCAUUUAUUCUCCAUUAAUUAUCACAGAUAAUCAACAUACAUAACUGAAAACUGAUUUUAAACAAUAAAAGCUGAGAUUUUCCCAGUCAUAUUGAUAUGUUCUUUUAUUAAAUACCUUGUACUUGUUUUUAUUGGAGGGAGAAGGCAGUAGUUGGGCAAAAUCUUUGAAAAUUUGGGCCAAAUUUUGAAAAUAUUUUUGCUAUCAUGCAUUGGACAAAUAAUUCAUAGGCAUGUAAAUAUAGAUAGAAAAGAUAAAAGUCAAUGAAUCAAUCACUAUUUAACUCCAAUUGGCGGUAGCUAUCCUAGCUUGAUAAAGGCCUGCAGAUCAAAUCAAUCUUUAAAUUAUUGGUUUGUGAGCUAAGUGGGGGAAUUCACAGAUUCAGGUAACAGGAAGAGUGACAUUGGGGCCUGGUUUUAUCACGCAAGGAGCCUGACUGAUUCUGCUGAUGGAGAAGUAGAGAUUGUGAUCUUUUUUCCUGCUGUGUUCAAAGGCAGGAAGACAGAGGCAGAGUGUCAACCUGCCACAAGGUAUAUCAACAAAUGGCUCUCAGGAAUUGUAGAGCAAAUAAAGUUCAUUGAGUUUGCUUCUAGGAAAAGAAUUUUCUAGAGGUUAAGGUAAGAGUUUGUCAUAUUAUGUGUCUCCUGUAAAGUGGCUCCACAGCCAUGGAGUCAUUCCUGUGACUCAGAUAAGCUUAGAUGCACAGACCAAGGGAAAUAGAAACUGGGAAUGUAAUGUGCAGAUAUCUUCAGAAUAUUGGAAUGCUGUGUCAAGAUGAAAGAUGGCCACAAGCUCUUUGACAUUUCUCCUAUCAAUAGAUGAAUUCUUUUUCUCUUCUCCUUGAAUGUGGGCUUCCAUUUGACUGCUUUGACCAAUGGAGUAUGGUGGAGUGUAGAUAGGCCUGGUCCCUGCCUAGCCUUGAAGAAGACUGGAAGCUCCCUUGGUCUUUUGGAGUCCUGAGCUACCAGACUUUUGGCUAUGAGGUAUGCUGGCCGGGGGAUGGAAGUAUGCUCCAGCAAGAGCAAGGAGACCUGAUGCUGUGGUAGUGCCAAGCAGAGUGGGCCGCCUGGGCAGCAACAUGCCUUCACACAAACUGUGCUCUGCGUACAGCUGAAGGAAUUGAAGGAAUCUGACUGAGGACUAGAGAAGUUAAGUCACUGCAGACAGAUACAGAGAAGUGGCAAAGGAAGCUGAUUCGUAUGCACCAUCUCAAAGAACCUCCUCACCCUCCCACAUCUGGUUGGGUUCUGCCGUCAGGGAGAACUGCCAGAUCACAGAACUAGAGAAGAGAGAAGUCAGAAUAUUCCUCCUUCUGGGUCUUACCCUACAGGUCACCAAUGUGCAGCUGAGUCCUGCUCCCCUCCAGAGGCCCAGUUUCCUUAGUUCUUUCAAUCUCUUCAUUCUGAAAAAGUGCUUUCUUCUCUCUUCAUUUCAGGCCUUAGGCUGGGAGAGGCCCACUGUUUCUAUUCCUGAUAUGUUGAACUCUAGAGUUUUACCUCCUCCCUGGCCAUACUUUGAUAAGUGGCAGGUGGUUUCAAUUAAAUUCUUCUCCAUUACCAAAUUUGAGUAUGUCAUUUCUUUCCUGAAGGAUACCCCAGAUUGACAAAGCAACCAAUGAAUAUUUCUUUCUUUCCUUAAUUGCAUUACCAUCUUACCAGUCUUGAAAAAAAUAACCAUGUCGAACAUUUUCCUUUCCCUAUUUACUUUGGAUUAUUUACCGAUCAAUAGCUGAAUCACACUUAUUCUGAAAUAAACUAACUCCCUUAUCUUGUCCCUCAUCCCACUGCUUUAUAAUAUUUGAAUUAACAGGGUAAGUUCUAUGCUGUGUCUGCAAAUUUUAGUUUCUAACCCGAAUGUCGGGAAUCUCUAGAAAUCUCAGUUACCUAAUCAGUGAAAAUAAUGAUGAGAUAUUAGGAUAGUGUCUAAAGUCCCUUUCAUUGGUUUAAGUUUAAAAUGUAGACAUGUAAAUAUAAAGUGAAGAGGUGUCAUUUAAUUGGACACUCCCAAAUAUUGUUUGCAAAUUUAACAUUAUGCCAGUUCAAGGGUUGAGUGUGUUGUUGUUGUUGAUUUUGGAGUGCCAAUUGUAGUAAGCAAUAAAGGAUAACAAAUGUACUGAAUGGCAAUGUCGAGUUCUUACUAGAUUGCUGGAAUCAACAGGCCAGAGCUCAUUUCCUGGCGUGACACUUCCCAUGAAGUUUUAAAAACUCCCCUUUUGUAAAAACAGAAAUAGUGCCACCAAUUUGCAGGAUUUGGGGAAAAAUGUAUGUAAAUCUCUGGCUCAGAGUAGACAAUAACAAAUGCCAUUUCUCCCACAGAAAUAUAUAAUCUAGUAGGGUGCUGAAGC